UGGUUUCCUGCUUCAACAGUGCUUGAACGGAGCCUG
rfam:Rattus norvegicus chromosome 1, whole genome shotgun sequence.